AUAUUCCUCAAGGAAGGAAUGGGAAUUUUUUAAUUACGCAAUGAGACCAUAUCCUAUUCGUUCACGGCCACAUAAACAAUAGGACAAUCCGGUACAACGAUGAUGCGUGCGAGUCACGCAUGCAAAUUGAUCAAAUGACUUGGACAUGGUACAUAUAUAAACUGAAAAAUGAAAUACAAAGAGUAUCUCAUAUUGUGAAGAAAGGAUGGCGUCGAUAUACAUUAUAUUUCUUGCAUGUAUUCUGUUAUCAAAAUUAGACGCGUAUCCAUCCCUGCCACUGUUACCCACUGAUCUGUCUGAGAGGGAGAAUUUCCGGUGCCCUGAUAUAGCGAACCCCCACUGCAGUAUGGACGGAACGAAAAGUUAUAGAAAUGCUUGUGAGGCUUGGAAGGCAUAUGAGAAGGCAGCCAAACCUUGCGACACGUAGUAAAGAAAACCAAUUGAUAUCUGAUGGAAAACCUGCAGAUUAACUCAAGAAAAUCCAGUAUCUGAUGUAUUUAUUUGUAUUUUUAAGUGUUUUUGUAUUUUGUUUUUAUUGUUUUACAUAGAUAUUUAUUUAUUUUGAUUUGUUAAUAACAAGCAAUAUAUUUUUA